AUUCAGUGGGCAGAAUGCUUGCCUUGCAUGCAGGAAGCUCUGGGUUCCAUCCCCAG
rnacentral:tRNA from 1 species